CCUCCCCACCCACCCCCGAUAGCCACUGGACUCCAGCACCAGCUUCGGAGCUCUCUGAUCUGGAGGGCUGCGUGCCUCAGGGCUCGAUCCGCUCAAUUCUCCGGGGAAACUUGAAUCCAUCACGGGGAUCACCGGAUUGAUUCCUGGGAGCUCCUGGAUUCGAAAUACGCGCUGCGAUUUCGGGAGCAAUUUUACUAUUCGUAAUGCUUCGAUGAAUUGAUCCGAACCGAUUCGCAAGCUGCAACCCAGGGAGUUGGGGAAUGGGAGAUCGGGGGGCGGCCGCGGUGGCGAUAUGGUGACCGCGAGCUUCCACCGGAGCACGUCGGCGCGGCUCGCAGCAAGGGGCGGCGUAGGGAGCCCCCGGGUCUCGUCGCCGGCGACCGCGCACCGCAAGUGGUGGUGGGCAUCGCCGUCGGGGCCGUCUUUCGACAGCAUCGCCCUCGUCUUCUUCCUGGCCUGCAUCGCGCUCGUGCUUUCCUGCGGCCUAUAUUUGUAUGCCAUCCGGCCCCUGGGCCGGGACCAUGCCGUCGCCGAGUUCUCCCGGGAGAAUCUGAAUCUAGACUCCUGCGACGUGUUCGACGGAAGGUGGGUGCGGGAUGAGCGGUACCCCUUCUACAACAGCUCGGAGUGUCCAUUUGCCGAGCGGGGGUUCAAUUGCCUGGCGAACGGGAGGACGAACCCCGAUUACCUCAAGUGGCGAUGGAAGCCGCGACACUGCGACAUACCGCGGUUCAGUGCCCAGCGUGUGCUGGAGUGGCUGAGAGGGAAGAGGGUUGUGUUCGUGGGGGACUCAAUGAGCCGAACACAGUGGGAGUCAUUCAUUUGCAUGCUCAUGACAGGGGUGGACGAUCCCAAGACAGUUUAUGAGAUCCAUGGCAACCAGAUCUCCAAGACGAUCCGGUUUUUAGGAGUGAGAUUUGAGUCAUUCAACCUGAGCGUCGAGUUCUUUCGGUCAGUCUUCCUUGUACAGCAGACCCCUGCUCCUCCUAUCCAUGGGACAAAACGGGUCCAUGCAAUUCUCAAGCUUGACAAGAUGGAUGAAACUAACUUGAAAUGGGCGAAUGCUGAUGUGCUUAUUUUCAACUCAGGGCAUUGGUGGACUGCCAGCAAAUUAUUUGACAUGGGUUGCUAUUUUGAGGCUGGGGGUCUUCUUAAACUGGGAACAUCCAUUAAUGCUGCUUACAGAAUGGCAUUGGAAACAUGGGCUUCGUGGGUGAAGGAAAAAGUGGAUUUGGAACGAACACAAGUCUUUUUCCGUACAUAUGAACCAUCUCAUUGGAGUGGCUCAAAUCAGAAGGUAUGUGAAGUAACAGAAAAACCUACAACUGAGGCCAAAGGAACUGACAGGACUGAGUUUGGGAAUAUACUUGCUGAUGUUGUGGCGAACAUGAGCAUUCCUAUCACUGUACUAAAUGUGACGUUGAUGGGAGCAUUCAGGAGUGAUGCACAUAUUGGUAUUUGGAGUCAUCCUUCUACUAUACUUGAUUGCAGCCACUGGUGCCUUCCUGGUGUUCCAGAUACUUGGAAUGAGCUAGUGUUUUCCCACCUUUUGACAAAUGGUUGGCGAAAGAUGGCUGGCUGACUGACUGCUGACUCUGGAUACUCAGCUUUUUUUUCGCUUGAGUAUUACGGUGCUUCUUGUAUUUAGUCUGCCACUAUGCACCAAAACAUGAAGUCUCACAGACAGCAGUAUCUGCUACAAGUUGUUGGCUGCUCAUCUUCUUCAAUAAUUGCUCGAGUACUCUUGAAGUUUAGUUGCGUUGGUGCCUGGCCACUUUUCGGUUCAGUGGAUACUGGCCCGCUCGCCGCCGACCUCUCCACUGUGAACCCAUGCCGUGAACCAUGCGUGACGCCGCGACAUGCGUCCAUGCCCCCGGAAGUGAGCAGCAAAGGCCAGAAAAACACAUGUUUCCAUUCCAGCAGCUGUGCCAAACUGUCGUUAUCCCGUACGAAGAAAGCUCCGUGCCUCCCUGCGGCAGAAGUAGAACUCCAAUUUCACGUGGCUACACUCUGAGUCUGCGACAGCAGUUUGUUAGUUUUCCACAAUCAACAUAAGAUGAUGCAAGGAGAAGCACGCAUCGCAUCUGCCCGCCCGGCAUGGCGAUCUACUCGUGUUUUCCCUAACCGGCAGGCAGCAGCCAUCAUGCGAAAUGGACACAUAAAUGAACCAGGUGGGGGAGGCAAGGCAACUCAAGAAGAAAGCGUCCUCUGCCGUGCACGGUUCUGCAAUUUCGAGUGCCCCUAGCGGUUGCCUUGAAGGAAAAAGAUGUCCCAGGUGGCCUAGUAGAUCUCGAGGCCUAUAUUGAUUUGCAGAAUUGCUAAAACAUAAACGUCAAAAUUAUUUUGAAUUUCCAGUCACUUUUUAGUUACUUAAUUAAUCAUUAUUUUUAUGGUGUGUUUA